CAGUCGCCGCGGUAAAACGAACCGUGCGAACGUUAUUCGGAAUUACUGGGCUUAAAGCGCGUGUAGGCGGGCCGCCACGUCGGUUGCUGAAAUCCCCCGGCUCAACCGGGGAAGUGGCAUCGAUACGAGCGGCCUUGAGGGGGGUAGGGGGAUCUGGAACUUCCGGUGGAGCGGUGAAAUGCGUUGAGAUCGGAAGGAACGCCCGUGGCGAAAGCGAGGUCCUGGACCCUUUCUGACGCUGAGACGCGAAAGCCAGGGGAGCGAACGGGAUUAGAUACCCGAGUAGUCCCUGUCUCUUAUU
rnacentral:rRNA from 1 species